GGAAAAUGUUUGCUUAUAUGAAUUUCAGCGUUUAAAAAACAAUCCGGUUUACUUCUGGUGAUGAACGACAUGUCCAUUUUGAUUUUGCAAACGUGUUAAGAUUGAUAAGAUAGCAUUAGCUUAGUUGCUAAUGGUCGCUAGAUAACAUCCCUGAAAAUGAGCUUUCUAAACUCCCCUGUUAAAGAAGAGGUAUGCGGGACGGAAAGAGAAAAGAAGAGGAUAUUACUGUGAAAUUAGAGUAACAUGCUUUCAGAAUAAAAGAGGAGGAAGAAGAGGCCUCGGUCAGUGUCAUAAAAGACACUGGAGAGGGUGUUACGCUGAAAGAAGAGAAUGAACCUUCUGAAGUGAAGGAGGAGAUUCAAAUUAAAAAGGACGAGGAGGCCCUCAAAGUGAAAGAAGAAUUGGAACCUUUUGGAAUUAAAGAGGAAGAGAAGGCUGUCUCAAUAAAUAAGGACAACGUUUUAUUGCGGAAAGAGGAGACAGAUCUGAAUCUAAAGACAUCUGGUGAGAGCCAAAAUUCAUGGAGAGAGGAAAGUAAAUGAUGACACCUUCAAAGAAAAGGAAAGAAUGGUUGAACCAACUCAUCCCCAUUCUCAGCCUCCAGGUCCAACCAGCUCAUCCCAUCCUCACCCUCCAGGUCCAACCAACUCCUCCCCAUUCUCAGCCUCCAGGUCCAACCAACUCAUCCCCAUCCUCAGCCAUUAGGUCCAACCAGCUCAUCCCCAUCCUCAGCCUCCAGGUCCAACCAACUCAUCCCCAUCCUCAGCCUCCAGGUCCAACCAACUCAUCCCCAUCCUCAGCCUCCAGGUCCAACCAACUCAUCCCCAUCCUCAGCCUCCAGGUCCAACCAACUCAUCCCCAUCCUCAGCCUUCAGUUUAUUUAUAUAGUACAAUUCAUACACAGAAGCAAUUCAGUGUGCUUUAUAAAGAAAAUAAAAAUAUAAAAAUGCAAUAGAAUUUAAACAGUCAGAUUGUUACAAUUCUCUAUCUCAGCUGUCUCCAGGGGGACUGCGUGAACUUCAACACCCG
ensembl:lncRNA